UACGUAGGGGGCAAGCGUUGUCCGGAAUUACUGGGCGUAAAGCGCACGUAGGCGGAUUUGUAAGUCAGGGGUGAAAUCCCGGGGCUCAACCUCGGAACUGCCUUUGAUACUGCAAAUCUCGAGUCCGGAAGAGGUGAGUGGAAUUCCUAGUGUAGAGGUGAAAUUCGUAGAUAUUCGGAGGAACACCAGUGGCGAAGGCGGCUCACUGGCUCGGUACUGACGCUGAGGUGCGAAAGCGUGGGGAGCGAACCGG
rnacentral:rRNA from 1 species